CGGACGGGUGAGUAACGCGUGAGAAUCUGGCUUCAGGUCUGGGACAACCACUGGAAACGGUGGCUAAUACCGGAUGUGCCGAGAGGUGAAAGGUUAACUGCCUAGAGAUGAGCUCGCGUCUGAUUAGCUAGUUGGAAGUGUAAUGGACUCCCAAGGCGACGAUCAGUAGCUGGUCUGAGAGGACGAUCAGCCACACUGGGACUGAGACACGGCCCAGACUCCUACGGGAGGCAGCAGUGGGGAAUUUUCCGCAAUGGGCGAAAGCCUGACGGAGCAAUACCGCGUGAGGGAGGAAGGCUCUUGGGUCGUAAACCUCUUUUCUCAGGGAAGAACACAAUGACGGUACCUGAGGAAUAAGCAUCGGCUAACUCCGUGCCAGCAGCCGCGGUAAUACGGAGGAUGCAAGCGUUAUCCGGAAUGAUUGGGCGUAAAGCGUCCGCAGGUGGCAAUGUAAGUCUGCUGUUAAAGAGUCUAGCUCAACUAGAUAAGAGCAGUGGAAACUACAUAGCUAGAGUACGUUCGGGGCAGAGGGAAUUCCUGGUGUAGCGGUGAAAUGCGUAGAGAUCAGGAAGAACACCAGUGGCGAAGGCGCUCUGCUAGGCCGUAACUGACACUGAGGGACGAAAGCUAGGGGAGCGAAUGGGAUUAGAUACCCCAGUAGUC
rnacentral:rRNA from 1 species